UACGUAGGGACCAAGCGUUGUUCGGAUUUACUGGGCGUAAAGGGCGCGUAGGCGGCUUAACAAGUCACUUGUGAAAUCUCCGGGCUUAACUCGGAACGGCCAAGUGAAACUGUCAAGCUAGAGUGCAGAAGGGGCAAUCGGAAUUCUUGGUGUAGCGGUGAAAUGCGUAGAUAUCAAGAGGAACACCUGAGGUGAAGACGGGGUUGCUGGGCUGACACUGACUGAGGCGCGAAAGCCAGGGGAGCAAAACGGGG
rnacentral:rRNA from 1 species